UACGGGGGGGGUAAGCGUUGUUCGGAAUUACUGGGCGUAAAGGGCUCGUAGGCGGCCAACUAAGUCAGACGUGAAAUCCCUCGGCUUAACCGGGGAACUGCGUCUGAUACUGGAUGGCUGGAGUUUGGGAGAGGGAUGCGGAAUUCCAGGUGUAGCGGUGAAAUGCGUAGAUAUCUGGAGGAACACCGGUGGCGAAGGCGGCAUCCUGGACCAACACUGACGCUGAGGAGCGAAAGCCAGGGGAGCAAACGGG
rnacentral:rRNA from 1 species